GAAGCUGGUCCUCCGGUAUCCGCGUUGUAACCUCGAGACACGUUUUCCGUGCGGCGCUAUGGACAAGUUCCUUGGAACAGGACAUCGUAGAGGGUGAAAAUCCCGUACUUGCCAUGGAUGUACCGUGCUUUGCGAUACGUGCUCUAAGAGUCGAGUUGUUUGGGAUUGCAGCUCAAAAUGGGUGGUAGACUCCAUCUAAAGCUAAAUAUCGGGGAGAGACCGAUAGCGAACAAGUACCGUGAGGGAAAGAUGAAAAGCACUUUGGAAAGAGAGUUAAAAGUACGUGAAAUUGUCGAAAGGGAAGCGCUUGAAGUCAGCCAUGCCGCUCAGGACUCAGCCUGGCUUUUGCUUGGUGUAUUUCCUGGUAGCAAGUCAGCAUUGGUUUGGAUCGUCGGAGAAGCAUAGUCGGAAUGUGGCGCCCUCGGGCGUGUUAUAGCCUUCUAUUGGAUACGACGAUCUAGACCAAGGAACGCAGCGCGCCU
rnacentral:rRNA from 1 species